GGUUUUCCUUGCCAGCAUGGAAUAUCUGUCCUCAGAAUGUCAUGAUGCGAGAACAUCUAAAGAACUCUUGAGUAGCGUUUACUAGGAAUCCUGACUUCUACUGAGAUUCUUACUCAUGCAGGUCAUGGUUGUCCCAAAGGUGCUUUUUCAAGAGGCAACUGGACAGAGAGGACCACGAGUUUGAAAGAGGGAUCAAAGAGGCCAUCUAUGUCAAAACUGAACAGCCCUCCCUCAACAGAAGGGGAGGGAUACAACAUCAUUUAUCUCCGGUCUACAACACAUUAAUCUCAGCAGUUCCAAGAAGGCUCCACACCCAUUUACAUCACUCAGGCGACCCUGAGGACACAGAUAAACCUCCAACUGCUUCAAUGUUCCUCUAAAAGGAUGCAAAUGACCAGCUGUUUGCAAGGAGUAUCAAUCCUUGCGUUCCCCACCAUCCAGUCAGAGCUGAAAAAGCUUCUUGGAUGAGAAGCGAAACGUCUUCAAAGAAAAAAACAAGAAAGUCCAGUUCACAGUUGCCUCUUGAACAAGCACCUUUGGGAUACGAGCCCUGAUGGUGCAGUGGUUAGAAUGUAGUAUCGCAGGUUCACUUUGGUGACUGCCAGCAGUUCGAUCCUGACCAGCUUAAGGUUGAUUUAGCCUUCCAGCCUUCUAAGAAAGGAAAUAAAAUAUGCAUGGAUGCAAUUUCUCAACAGAGAGGAAAAACCCCAAACAAGGACCAAGAGGAAUAUGACAAAGAGAGAAAGCCAACAAGGAUGUGAGAAUAAUACCCAGCUGAUUACCUGCUUCAUGGGCAACUUAAGAUAAAGCUGCAAUUCUAUUUUACAUAAGUUUGAAUCUCUCCUUGAUCAGUUUCCAUCCAUUAUUCCUUGUCUGGCCUUCAGGAACCUUGGAAAACAGCUUGACCCCCUUCCUCCUCUCUGUGGCAGCCCCUCAAAUAUUGGAAGACUGCUAUCAUGUCUCCCCUGCUUUGCUGGCUGAGGAAUUCUGGGAGUUGAAGUCUUAAAGUGGCCAAGGUUGGAGACCCCUACCAUAGAAUAUCUCCCUCAAGACAGUUAUUCUGAACCCCGCCCUGUUGGAGCACCUACCCUCUGGAACGAACUUCCCCCCGAUUUGCGCCAACUAUCUGAUCUUCGGACCUUUCGCCGUGAAUUAAAAACUUAUUUAUUUAUCCAAGCGGGACUGGCUUGAUUUUUAAAUUUUCAAAUUUUUAAUUUUUAGUAAUUUUAUAUGGGGUAUUUUAGGCUGGGUCAAUUUGACGGUUUUAAUUUGGCCAUUAUUGAAUAUGUAUUUUAAUUGAUAUUUUAAUUUUGUAUAUUUAAUUGUUUUAACCUUG